UACAGAGGGUGCAAGCGUUGCUCGGAUUUACUGGGCGUAAAGCGUACGCAGACGGUGAGAAAGGUCGAAUGUGAAAGCCCCGGGCUCAACCCGGGAACUGCAUCCGAAACCAUCUCGCUAGAGUAUGAGAGAGGGAAGCAGAAUUCCUGGUGUAGAGGUGAAAUUCGUAGAUAUCAGGAGGAAUACCUGCGGCGAAGGCGGCUUCCUGGCUCAUUACUGACGUUCAGGUACGAAAGCGUGGGUAGCAAACAGG
rnacentral:rRNA from 1 species